AACGAACGCUGGCGGCAUGCCUUACACAUGCAAGUCGAACGCGAAAGUGUCUUCGGACAUUAGUAGAGUGGCAAACGGGUGAGUAACGCGUGGGAACAUACCUUAUAGUACGGGAUAGCCUCGGGAAACCGGGAUUAAUACCGUAUAUUCCCUAAGGGGAAAGAUUUAUCGCUAUAAGAUUGGCCCGCGUCAGAUUAGCUAGUUGGUGGGGUAACAGCCUACCAAGGCAACGAUCUGUAGCUGGUCUGAGAGGACGAUCAGCCACAUUGGGACUGAGACACGGCCCAAACUCCUACGGGAGGCAGCAGUGGGGAAUAUUGGACAAUAGGA
rnacentral:rRNA from 1 species